GAUGAAGAAAGUAGCGAAAUGCGAUAAGUAAUGUGAAUUGCAGAAUUCAGUGAAUCAUCGAGUCUUUGAACGCACAUUGCGCCCCCUGGUAUUCCGGGGGGCAUGCCUGUCCGAGCGUCAUUGCUGCCCUCAAGCACGGCUUGUGUGUUGGGCCGUCGUCCCCCUCCUAGGGGACGGGCCCGAAAGGCAGCGGCGGCACCGCGUCCGGUCCUCGAGCGUAUGGGGCUUCGUCACCCGCUCCGUAGGCCCGGCCGGCGCUUGCCGACGACCAUCAAUCUCUUUCUCCAGGUUGACCUCGGAUCAGGUAGGGAUACCCGCUGAACUUAAGCAUAUCAAUAAGCGGAGGA
rnacentral:misc_RNA from 1 species